UCCGAGUUAACACCUUUUGAGUGCGGGACCUCCAUGGGAGUCUGCGGGAAAUUAACUUCCCUGUGGAACAGAUAAAAAAAAAAAAAGGUGCACGGACUCUGACUGAGAGUCACAUUCAAGGGAUCCAAGUUUGUUGUUUUGGACAUGCAACAGAUCGGAGCAUUGAGUCGACUUGAUUCUGGACUUGGUGCUGACCUCUUAUUAAACUGCAGUAACUGCAGUCGGAAAUGAUGGGAAUCGAAGAGGGCAUGCAUGCUUUGGAGCAGAAGCAGCAGUGGACAAGCAAACGAGCUCCUUAAAAGAGUUUAUGUCCAGGACGAGGUGGCCAUGGCAACCCAGAGAUGGCAUGGUACUGCAAGUCACCGGUGAUUCUGGGUUCUAUCAAUGGCUGCUUAUUAAUAUUUUUUUUUUAUCUCGGCACUGUAAUCCAGGUAUGAGGAAUUUGGGACGUACUCAAACACUGCUUGACACCAGGUUUUUUGAGCAAUUACUAAAAUAGAAUUUAUUUUCUUUAUGAUUAUUUAUAAUGUCGUUUACGUCCAUGCUGGGAUGAAAUUUAUAUGUUUUGGUGCAUUAAGAUUGAGAAGAAUUUCGUUUUAAUUAAUAAUAUCAGGAGGAAGUAGUUGUUGAAGUUGAUCCGGGUCAUGACCCGCAAAGAGGCGGGAUUUUCCGGCCGGUGGGUCCUCACUCCUCAGACGCAAUCCGGGGAGAAAGCACUGCAUCGUCCCAUCUCUUUCUCCUUUCCACCUGCUCAUACGGGUCAGUAAAAGGUAUAUAAAGUCCUACUACCUCUUUUUAUGAUGUUAUAUUUAAAUUUAUGGCUAUCGGUUGAGUGCUUGAGCAGCCGUGUUAACUCUUGUCUUUUUUGUCGUUUGUGUCGACGCCAUUUUGUAUGACGCGCAUCUAAACAAGACUGUUGUCAUGAAUGACACUUUCAAUGAAGUAUUUUUUGACAGUGUUAUACUGUAAGACAUUUAAUAACACAAUAUGUUAUGAGAUUAUGCAUACAUUCAGGGAGAAUCUUAAUUAAUAUAGGGAAUUAAUAUUUUGUUUUGAAAAUUUGAACAUGGUGAGACAUACAGAUGAAUUUGAGAAUGCACCUAGAAAAUAUGUGUAGUUGAACAGAAAUGUACCGAAAUAAUGUUUUUUAUAUGUAAUGUGUUUAAUAAAACAACCAGAGACGCAAUCUGGGAAAGCAGUGUG